UACGUAGGGAGCAAGCGUUGUUCGGAUUUACUGGGCGUAAAGGGCGCGUAGGCGGCGCGGUAAGUCACUUGUGAAAUCUCUGAGCUUAACUCAGAACGGCCAAGUGAUACUGCAGUGCUAGAGUGCAGAAAGGGCAAUCGGAAUUCUUGGUGUAGCGGUGAAAUGCGUAGAUAUCAAGAGGAACACCUGAGGCGAAGGCGGGUUCCUAGGCUGACACUGACGCUGAAGCGCGAAAGCCAGGGGAGCAAACGGG
rnacentral:rRNA from 1 species